rnacentral:rRNA from 1 species
UUAAGCGACUAAGCGUACACGGUGGAUGCCCUGGCAGUCAGAGGCGAUGAAGGACGUGCUAAUCUGCGAUAAGCGUCGGUGAGGUGAUAUGAACCGUUAUAACCGGCGAUUUCCGAAUGGGGAAACCCAGUGUGUUUCGACACACUAUCAUUAACUGAAUCCAUAGGUUAAUGAGGCAAACCGGGGGAACUGAAACAUCUAAGUACCCCGAGGAAAAGAAAUCAACCGAGAUUCCCCCAGUAGCGGCGAGCGAACGGGGAGGAGCCCAGAGCCUGAAUCAGUGUGUGUGUUAGUGGAAGCGUCUGGAAAGGCGCGCGAUACAGGGUGACAGCCCCGUACACAAAAAUGCACAUAUUGUGAGCUCGAUGAGUAGGGCGGGACACGUGGUAUCCUGUCUGAAUAUGGGGGGACCAUCCUCCAAGGCUAAAUACUCCUGACUGACCGAUAGUGAACCAGUACCGUGAGGGAAAGGCGAAAAGAACCCCGGCGAGGGGAGUGAAAAAGAACCUGAAACCGUGUACGUACAAGCAGUGGGAGCCUCUUAAUGGGGUGACUGCGUACCUUUUGUAUAAUGGGUCAGCGACUUAUAUUCUGUAGCAAGGUUAACCGAAUAGGGGAGCCGAAGGGAAACCGAGUCUUAACUGGGCGUUAAGUUGCAGGGUAUAGACCCGAAACCCGGUGAUCUAGCCAUGGGCAGGUUGAAGGUUGGGUAACACUAACUGGAGGACCGAACCGACUAAUGUUGAAAAAUUAGCGGAUGACUUGUGGCUGGGGGUGAAAGGCCAAUCAAACCGGGAGAUAGCUGGUUCUCCCCGAAAGCUAUUUAGGUAGCGCCUCGUGAAUUCAUCUCCGGGGGUAGAGCACUGUUUCGGCAAGGGGGUCAUCCCGACUUACCAACCCGAUGCAAACUGCGAAUACCGGAGAAUGUUAUCACGGGAGACACACGGCGGGUGCUAACGUCCGUCGUGAAGAGGGAAACAACCCAGACCGCCAGCUAAGGUCCCAAAGUCAUGGUUAAGUGGGAAACGAUGUGGGAAGGCCCAGACAGCCAGGAUGUUGGCUUAGAAGCAGCCAUCAUUUAAAGAAAGCGUAAUAGCUCACUGGUCGAGUCGGCCUGCGCGGAAGAUGUAACGGGGCUAAACCAUGCACCGAAGCUGCGGCAGCGACGCUUAUGCGUUGUUGGGUAGGGGAGCGUUCUGUAAGCCUGUGAAGGUGGCCUGUGAGGGUUGCUGGAGGUAUCAGAAGUGCGAAUGCUGACAUAAGUAACGAUAAAGCGGGUGAAAAGCCCGCUCGCCGGAAGACCAAGGGUUCCUGUCCAACGUUAAUCGGGGCAGGGUGAGUCGACCCCUAAGGCGAGGCCGAAAGGCGUAGUCGAUGGGAAACAGGUUAAUAUUCCUGUACUUGGUGUUACUGCGAAGGGGGGACGGAGAAGGCUAUGUUGGCCGGGCGACGGUUGUCCCGGUUUAAGCGUGUAGGCUGGUUUUCCAGGCAAAUCCGGAAAACCAAGGCUGAGGCGUGAUGACGAGGCACUACGGUGCUGAAGCGACAAAUGCCCUGCUUCCAGGAAAAGCCUCUAAGCAUCAGGUAACAUCAAAUCGUACCCCAAACCGACACAGGUGGUCAGGUAGAGAAUACCAAGGCGCUUGAGAGAACUCGGGUGAAGGAACUAGGCAAAAUGGUGCCGUAACUUCGGGAGAAGGCACGCUGAUAUGUAGGUGAAGCGACUUGCUCGUGGAGCUGAAAUCAGUCGAAGAUACCAGCUGGCUGCAACUGUUUAUUAAAAACACAGCACUGUGCAAACACGAAAGUGGACGUAUACGGUGUGACGCCUGCCCGGUGCCGGAAGGUUAAUUGAUGGGGUUAGCGGUAACGCGAAGCUCUUGAUCGAAGCCCCGGUAAACGGCGGCCGUAACUAUAACGGUCCUAAGGUAGCGAAAUUCCUUGUCGGGUAAGUUCCGACCUGCACGAAUGGCGUAAUGAUGGCCAGGCUGUCUCCACCCGAGACUCAGUGAAAUUGAACUCGCUGUGAAGAUGCAGUGUACCCGCGGCAAGACGGAAAGACCCCGUGAACCUUUACUAUAGCUUGACACUGAACAUUGAGCCUUGAUGUGUAGGAUAGGUGGGAGGCUUUGAAGUGUGGACGCCAGUCUGCAUGGAGCCGACCUUGAAAUACCACCCUUUAAUGUUUGAUGUUCUAACGUUGGCCCGUAAUCCGGGUUGCGGACAGUGUCUGGUGGGUAGUUUGACUGGGGCGGUCUCCUCCUAAAGAGUAACGGAGGAGCACGAAGGUUGGCUAAUCCUGGUCGGACAUCAGGAGGUUAGUGCAAUGGCAUAAGCCAGCUUGACUGCGAGCGUGACGGCGCGAGCAGGUGCGAAAGCAGGUCAUAGUGAUCCGGUGGUUCUGAAUGGAAGGGCCAUCGCUCAACGGAUAAAAGGUACUCCGGGGAUAACAGGCUGAUACCGCCCAAGAGUUCAUAUCGACGGCGGUGUUUGGCACCUCGAUGUCGGCUCAUCACAUCCUGGGGCUGAAGUAGGUCCCAAGGGUAUGGCUGUUCGCCAUUUAAAGUGGUACGCGAGCUGGGUUUAGAACGUCGUGAGACAGUUCGGUCCCUAUCUGCCGUGGGCGCUGGAGAACUGAGGGGGGCUGCUCCUAGUACGAGAGGACCGGAGUGGACGCAUCACUGGUGUUCGGGUUGUCAUGCCAAUGGCACUGCCCGGUAGCUAAAUGCGGAAGAGAUAAGUGCUGAAAGCAUCUAAGCACGAAACUUGCCCCGAGAUGAGUUCUCCCUGAGACUUAGAGUCUCCUGAAGGAACGUUGAAGACGACGACGUUGAUAGGCCGGGUGUGUAAGCGCAGCGAUGCGUUGAGCUAACCGGUACUAAUGAACCGUGAGGCUUAACCUU